UAAGUCAUCCCCAUGGUGAUGUAGAUUACUUGACUUUUCCAACUGUUACCCUUACAGCUAUGCAUUAAAUUCAUUCACAAGAAUACAUGGAGUCUCUCUCCAUCCAUUCAAGGGGUGGGGCUUCAUAAUCUCUGUAUAUAUUAAUCUAAUCUGUUGAUAACCUUUCCCCCAUUUUUAAAUUUAUUCGACAAUCAACAUACACAUUACAGAUCUCUCUCUGUUUUAGACAAACAUAUUUUUUUGUUUAUACAGCCCUCAACCUGUAACUUGUCUUCUCUCUUCAGCCAUCUCCAUCUCUAUCUCUCUCUAUCAAAAUCAAAUCGCCCCCUGAAAUCAUCACUACUAAUCGAUUAAUUAGCAACUUUAUUUGAUUAGCUUAAUCAGUCUCUAUGAUUCGUGAUUAACAGUAGUAUUAUCGAAAAGAUGAUUAGAGAAAACGGAGAGUUUAUAAUAGAAAGUGUUGAUGGAGUUACAUCUUGGUUGAUAUGGAUUCAUUUCUUAGUUAUGCUCCUUCUUAUGAUUCUUCUCUUUUAUUUCUCAAUCAUAUCAGUAUCUGAUAAGUCUACCUCUUCUUCGUCGCCACCGCCGUCAUCGUUGAGUCAGAAUCAGAUCUCUGCUAAUAAGAAGUACAAUCACAGUUUUAGUACCAAUUGUUCAUCACAAGUAAUCAAGGUCUGCAGGUAAAUGAAGGUCACACAGAAAAUCAAUCAACAAGCAGAAGAGGAAUCGUAAGACCUCAAGUUAAUGAAAUUGAAGCUUUCACUCCUCCUCCGGCUACUACUACUUCAACAGCAUAUUGUAGUAGUUCCUCAUAUAAUCCUUGUUAUUUGCUUGAGUUAGGCAGAAGAGCUUUUCUCAAGUGCUUGGGUCUUGAUGAUUCUUCUACUACCUCACAAGAUUCUUCUCAACACAAUGGUAAUAAUAGUCGAGAGAAGCUGACAAAGAGAGACAAAAGCCAAUAAAUGAACAACAACUCCAAACUAAAGUCUGAAAUCUAGGAAGGGCAGCAAGAUGUGGAGGGAGCUAAUGGAAUGAGGCUGUUGGAUAGAUAUGAACCAUAUGGUUAUGGUGGGACAUUGUCAAUAUUGAAGAACUUGAUCCAAUGUAUCUGUUAGUUAACCCUAACCUUUUCAUUUAGAUAAGUUCAUAAUUUCAUUUAUUCUUGUAGGUCACAGAAAUCAUUUUCGUACCAUUUGUAUCUGCACAAUAAAACAUCAUAUUUAGGACCUUUUAUGGUUUUAUGGCUUGAAAAAUGUUUGGCUGUAAUGUCUGGGUUAUUAAUCUGAGAUUCAAACUGUUUGAGUUGUA